ACCUUAGUAGCUCACUUGGUAGAGCAUGAGACACUUAAUCUCAGGGUCGUGGAUUUGAGCCACACCUUGGGCA